rnacentral:rRNA from 1 species
CCUACGGGUGGCAGCAGUGGGGAAUAUUGCACAAUGGGCGCAACCCUGAUGCAGCGACGCCGCGUGAGUGAAGAAGUAAUUCGUUAUGUAAAGCUCUAUCAGCAGGGAAGAAAAUGACGGUACUUGAGUAAGAAGCACCGGCUAACUACGUGCCAGCAGCCGCGGUAAUACGUAGGGGGGAAGCGUUAUCCGGAUGUACUGGGUGUAAAGGGAGCGUAGACGGCAGUGCAAGUCUGGAGUGAAAGGCGGGGGCUCAACCCCCGGACUGCUCUGGAAACUGUACGGCUGGAGGGCAGGAGAGGGAAGUGGAAUUCCUAGUGUAGCGGGUAAAUGCG